rnacentral:rRNA from 1 species
GACGAACGCUGGCGGCGUGCUUAACACAUGCAAGUCGAACGAAGUGGCGAACGGGUGAGUAACGCGUAAUCAACCUGCUCUUCAGAGGGGGACAACAGUUGGAAACGACUGCUAAUACCGCAUACUGAAGGAGGGGAUUGCGUGUGAUUAGCUAGUUGGAGGGGUAACGGCCCACCAAGGCGAGGAUCAGUAGCCGGGCUGGGAGGAUGAACGGCCAAAUUGGGCCUGAGACACGGCCCAGACUCCCACGGGAGGCAGCAGUGGGGAAUCUUCCGCAAUGGAAGAAAGUCUGACGGAGCAACGCCGCGUUAGUGAUGGCGGCCUUCGGGUUGUAAAGCUCUUUUAAUCGGGACGCGGUACCGGAAGAGAAAGCCACGGCUAACUACGUGCCAGCAGCCGCGGUAAUAC